AGAACGAACGCUGGCGGCAUGCCUAAUACAUGCAAGUCGAACGAACUCUUCGGAGUUAGUGGCGCACGGGUGCGUAACGCGUGGGAAUCUGCCCUUGGGUUCGGAAUAACAGUUGGAAACGACUGCUAAUACCGGAUGAUGACGAAAGUCCAAAGAUUUAUCGCCCAGGGAUGAGCCCGCGUAGGAUUAGCUAGUUGGUGAGGUAAAGGCUCACAAGGCACGAUCCUAGCU
rnacentral:rRNA from 1 species